CUAAUCCUAUAUCAUUUACCCUUUCGAGACACGUGUAGCAGCUAAACAAUAACCCAAUUUAUUGCACAAUUUGUAUACCCCCCAAAUGUCAUUGCAUUAAACAUGCCAAUAACCCUAAGACGAUUUCAUUUUCUCUGGCACAACGCAUAGCAUUGUUUGUUUUCCAUUUUUCACUGGAAACUCAAUCUCAGUCUCCAUCAAUUAAAGAUCAGAAGCAAAUAAUUCAUGGGAUUGUAUUUGAAACAAAUUAGAUUGAAGAACUUUUGUUGGUGUCGAUUGCAAAUCAGGAAGAAAGUUGAGAAAUUGGAAGCUGUUAAUAGAAAUACGAAGGAAUAAUUUCUUUGAAGAUGAUAGGCAAAACACGUUCUCCUCAAAACGAAAAUGAAUAUUGGGUGUAUCUGAAAUGAUCAGGAAAUUAAUAAGCAGGUUAUGGAUUGCGGA